UUCCAAAAUUAAUUAUAAUAGGCGACACUUUUUGCCACCAUUGGACAAUUCCUCACACUAAUCCCUAAACACGAAAAAUCCCAAAUCACAAGAUAGUGAGAUACUAGUCGGUUUUCUGGAAUUCCCAAAAACAUUUCCUCGUACAGUGGAGAACUACCAACAACUUCACAACUGACAUAUUCAUAUGCAACAUCAAAGGCACUUCCAAAAGGGAAGCGAACUAGAGGACCAACUAUGUGCAAAGAUGUCCAUGAAUGGACAUUAGAGGACCGCAAAACUAUUAUUCUUAAUGAAAUGGGGAAGCCUAUUGGUCUUGGUAAGAAAAAUGUAGAUAAAUUUUCAAGAUUCUUGGGUACUUUGUCUCGUAAUUCUUCUCUACACCAUUGAACAAGCUUAAUUGGCAUCAUGUGGUAGACAAGGACAAGCUUUUAUGUUAAGAAAAAAUAUAUGAUAUAUGAAGAAGGUAAAGAGCUUGUGCUCGUAUAUCAAUUGGGAGGCUUUGGCGUAGACAUAAGUGCACCAUAAAGUAAAGACACUUUACUCAAUACGACAAUGAUAAUGAUAGGAAAAAAAAUGCUCCGGUAAUAUAAUGUGAGCUUCACAUUUCAAGGAUUUGCUAGAGUUAUGGAAUUUGGAAUUAGUACAGGUACUUUUAUGCCUUUUUUCGCCUUGAAGUUGUGAGUUGGAUUAGCUCUUUUUACACUUUGUGACAUGACCACUACAUUGGUGAAAUCAAAACAAUUCAGGUUUUAAUUUCUUUUAUUUGCAUGUGUAAACAUACAAAAAUCAAAAGCCUAACUCAAACCUUGAAAAUGCUUAUCUUAAUCAAUUGAGCCAAAAUUUUCAUAUCUUUGUUUGUACUGCCUUAGAACGAGAGCUAAAUUCAACAUUAUACUAUUUUUGGCUCUCUGAAUGUGAAGGAUUUAUUGUUGCUUAUGAACUAAUGAUAUAAAAGAAGUAUCUUCUUACAAGGGUGAAAAGCUAGUCUUGCAAUCCAUUUUUGCUUUGCAUGUGAUACUUGUAAGAGAGAGAGGCAUGAAGAGUUGUCAUAUCGUUUUGAAAUUUCUAUCCAGAUUGGUUCUUGUUUGUAACUAGUAGUCUAUUUGAAGUUGUUUUAGGAAAAUCUAACUGCUAUUUCUUGUGAGCCAUUCUUUUACUCGAAACAAUAAAUCAAUUUUUUCUCCAUAUUUCGGUAUUUGAUGACCAUAUAUUAUCUUAAACUAAUUAUGUGGUUCUGCUAUACACUGAUGGGUGGAAAGAUAUCUGGUGGAAAAUUACAAUAGAAAUGAUUUGAAAUCGUCCAUGUUCACUCUUCGCAGGAGAUUUCACCUCUAUGAUUUUGUUGUCCCUCAUUCCAGAGUGUAAGUUAAGACUUAUAAUUAGGAUUGAAAGUAUAGAGAGAUAUAUUGUGGCGCAUUACAAGAUCUCCAAUUGAUGUCAUCCCCUUUUCAUGGUAACAGAUGAGUACCAUAUAUUUCGUAGGGCUGUGCAAGUAAAUUAUCAGCACAUUAGCUAAAAGUAAAUUACCUUUUUGCUACUUUAUAUAUGUAUGUUGAAGCCACUUGGCAUAUGAUUAGUUUUUUUAGGAAUAGGGGGGAUAAGUUCAUAUCACCUCAUUUAGAAAUAUGGUGAAGACUUGGCUACUUUAUAUUUAAUUGAUCCACAUAUAAUUAUCUGUUAUCAUUUUAUGUGGACAUUCACUUUUUCGACCGAGAAUAUUUUAUUCAGUCAGCUUCGAAGGUGAGAAAUAUUUUCUUAGAAGACAUAGUUUAAGAAUUUGGUAUCCGUGCAAGUAGGUCUAUUUUUUAAAUGUAAUUAUUUCCUCUAUUGUGUUGUGCAACAUAUGUAGGGUUAACUUUAUUUUGUAAUGAUUCUCUUUGGUAAUGUAACUGCAAAGAAAAGAGAAAACAGGUUAAUUCAAACUGAUAGGCAUACGAGUCCAACAAGCUUUGCUAGGAAACAACAUGAAUUGCAACAACAAUAUGCUGAGAAAAAGCCGUCGUCACAAGCACUAUUGUAUAAAGAAACUCGAAAACGGAAAGCAGGCAAAAACUACAAAACAUCCUUUGAGCCUAUUCAAAUGAACUU